AAAAGGUUUAUGUAAACUAUCAUUCAAGAAUUAAAGUACAACAUAUCUCUAUUAUAUAAGGGAAGGGGGGAGCUAUGGUGUCCCCGAAUGAAGAGACUAUGGUACCCCCUUCCCAUUCUAAAUUACAAAUUCACGUACGAAUCAAAGGGGACUUUAAACAAAAAUACCAAAAAUAUAAUUAUAACAAUCACUCACAAGUCAACUAAAAUCAUAAAAUUGCAUAAUUUACGUUAUGUAAAUCACUAAAAUGAGAACUUUACAAAAACUUAAAAAUUCACUUACAAACUACAACCUAUGAAAAAAUUGACUUGAAAUCAAAGUGUCCACUUUCUUUACAAUUUAUGAAGUAUUGUACAUAAUUCAAAAAUCAACUAAAAAAUUAUAAUAUUAGAAAUCAUAAAUAAAUCAAUAAAAUUUCAAUUUUGUUCAUAGAGUUUAACUUUGAAAAGUAAAAAAAAAAGAAACAAAAAGAAUGGUGAGAGACUUAAGUGACAUAAACUAAACCAAUCAAAUUUUGCAACUAAAAACAAUUAUAUUUCGUAUGUCUAAUGUUCAAAUCUUGACUCUUACGCCGAACAAAAUCGAGUUUUUGUUUUGAAAAAAAUUCACAAAAAAUUCUAGUAUUAAAAAGUGAAUGACAUGGAUGGAAAAAGAGGAGAAAGUAAAUGUAAUAUGUUACCAAAAAUAGAAAAAACAACAAUGUGUAGAUUAAAAAGAAACAAACUAAAAAAGAAAGUGUAUGGAUCCAUUACCCAUUAAAAAGUGGGGAGUUCAAGCUACUGUUCCUUAGUAACAGUGCAUUGCCAUUUCUGCCCUUUACCCUCCCUUUGCCACGUGUUUUCUUUUCUUCCGGUUUUCCUCUGAACCCGCCAUUCUCUCUCAAUCUUCAUUUCCUUUUCUCUCUCCUCUCUUCAUUUCCUAUCAGCGCCUCCUAUAUUGCGCUACAAAAUCGCCAAUUGCAUUCACAAAACAAAAAUUCCAAUUCAAUCUCAUCUUGAAGGAGCUCAAAUUAGUAGAGAUUCAACUAGCUCUCCUUCUUCUACAGAAACUGCUGAAGAAACAGAUGAUAUUCAAAAGCCCUUUUGAACAUUUGCUACGCUUUUGAUUCCCUUGAGUCCCAGCUCGCUUCUUUGCAGGUAAUUCUACAAUUUUUCACCCUUAAUUUUCAUUUUCUUGGUGUUUUGUCUUUUGGGUUUUCUAGGGUUUGGUGAUUUUGUUUAUGGAUGGUUGUUAUUUUUUAAUAAAGUCUUAAUUUUGGUGUAAAUUAUUUAGUUAUUUGAAGAGUUGUUGCAGAUUUAUUUUUUUUAGUGUAGAUUAAUGUUUCUCUUAACGCACUUCUCCUUCUCUCUAACUCAGCGACUAAACAGUGGUUCUUCCUGAACUUUACUCUAAAAUUCAAUUGGGUAUUUCAAUUUUCAGUUUAUUUUAAUCAAUUUUUAGAAAAUUACCAGUGAUUCGAUAUUUUCAAUCAUCCAAGUGUUCGUGGAAUUCAUUGGCUCAGGUAUUACUCAAAUUUAUUCCCAUUUUUUUUUCAAUUUUGCUCUAAUUUUUCCUUUUUUGCUGUUGUUUGCUAUCUUGUGUUGUAUGGCUAUCUCAUGUUUUUUUGAUGUAAAAAAAAUCUGCUUUAAUUAAACUGAUUUGUUUUGUAUUGCUGUUUUGGUUUGCUAUCUCAUUCAAUAAAAAAAAUCUUAUGAUGUACAGCUGUUUGCUAUCUCGUGUUGUAUUGCUAUCCAAGUGUUGUAUCUCGUGUUUUGGUUGAUGUCCAUGUUUUGGUAAAUUUGAACUCCCUUUAUUAGGAAUUACCCAUGAUGCUAUAGGUAACUUUUAGUCUUUUUUUUGGAUUUGUUAUGAUCUUAGAUACACCUUGAAUCGAUUUAAUUGAAUCAGAUUUUUUUUUUAUGUCUAUCAUAUUUUAUAAUUUGGGUGAAAAUAGAUAAUCAAAUCUUAUAGUCAGUAAAUGGUAAGCAUAAACCAUUAGGCUUGAAAUGAUCAAUUUCCUCAUUAACAAUAGUAUCAUUAUAGCUGUGCAUCUCGAGAGAAUCAUCUUGUUGACUUUAAAUUAUCUAUUCGAUUUUAAGUUUGUAGAGCUGUAAUAUAUCAUUGAUGUCCAAGUGUGUUAAGCAUGAAUCUUCUUGCUUAACAUUGUUGGUUGGGCGUAAGAUUAGCUACUUGAACUUUCGCCCUCGACAACUACUACAUUAUGGUAGAACUCGAUUUCUUUGUCUUUAAAAAGUCUUUGACAGAUGGAUGAUUGAAUCCCAAGGAGGGACUUUUCGAUAGGAGAUUUCGAUCGUGGAAAAAUGUUACGGAAAUCACCUAAAAGUUCCAACUACAUGUUCAUCAUUGACAUUCCCUUGAUAAUACGAGAUGACACAUGUUCAUCAGUAACUUAUAUGUGAUUUCUCCAAAAAGGAGUCAAUAGAUGAGGAGAGAAAAUGGAUGGAGUUUGCCAAUUUGUUAGAGAUGGGCAAAGAAUAUACGAUUUCCACGACAUGCUACGUCUACAGGAAUGCCAAAUUAUGAAUGAGGAAGUGGGUGGGAUUCGCUAAUUUGUUACAGCAUUUCUUGCCUGGAUUUGAGUUGGGCCUUGAAGAAAGCACAUGGCACACAUAUGUAUUCACAACUAUACUAUGGGGUGAGCAACUGCAGUCCAUAAAAUGGCUGCCUUAUCAGUCUGCCUUCUCGGACAUGGUUCAUCAGCCUCGACCUCGUAAAUUG